rnacentral:rRNA from 1 species
UAGGCGCGAGCGGCGGACGGGUGUGUGAUGCCUAGGCAAUUGCCCUGGUGUGCUGGAUAACUAUUGGAAUCGAUCCCUAAUACCGCAUAACCCUACGGGCGAAAGAGGGGGACCUUCCGCCCUCUCGCGUCCCGAUGAGCCUAGGUGUGAUUAGCUUGGUGGUGACUCAUGGCUCACCAAUGCCACGAUGCCUAGAUGGUAUGAGAGGACGAUCUGCCACUCUGGAACUGACACAACGUCCAGACUCCUAAGGGAGGCAGCAGUGGGCAAUAUUGCCCAAUGCGCGAAACCCUGAUGCCGCCUUGCCGCGUGUAUGCAGAAGGUCUUCAGGUUGUUUAGCACUUUCAGAAGGGAGGAACGCUGUGUCCUUCAUUGCUUGAUUGUUUGACCUUACCGACAGACGAAGCACCGGCUGCCUCCGUGCCAGCAACCACGGUAAUACCGAGGGUGCAUCCGUUAAUCUGAAUUACUGGGCGAUAAGCGCAUGCAGGUGGUUUGUUAAGUCAGAUGUGAAACUCCGCCUCUCAACCUCAUAUCAGCCUUUGAGACUGGAAUACUGUAGUACUGUAUAGGGUGGUAGAAUUUCAGGUGUAGUGCUUAAAUGCCUAGAGAUCUGCAGGAAUCCCGGUGCCCAACGUGGGACCCUAGGCAAAUACUGAUACUCAGAUGCGAAAGCCUAGAGCAACAGUUAGAUACCCUGGUAGUCCACGCCGUAUAAUGUCUACUUGGAGGUUGGGC